ensembl:lncRNA LINC00907 long intergenic non-protein coding RNA 907
CUCCUUCCCAUUUAUGAGAGAGCCACAUGACAUCAGCCCAUAGACUGUGGAGAGUAUUCCAGAUCUAUCACAUUCUGCGAUUCUGCGAUUCCCAGAAGGCUGGUCAUGAAAAAAUUCCCUCUUCAGUUUACAUAUAUGGCAGUGUGUCAAGGUGUCAGCUUUGAAGGCCACUCUUGUGUGGAGACGGUGCUACCAACUGACUGGAGACAGGAUGUGCCCUUUGGAUAGGGGACCGCAUAACUCAACAUCCAAACUGGGACACUGUUAUUAUUUAAGCAGGACAACAGGAAUAAGAUGAGACUGCUUAUUCAAACUGGGAUUUACAGUCACUUUACUUAGGGCCAGGUCCACAUCCUGCCUUGCUUGCUUGUUAAGGAAUCUUGUCACAAAUUAUUUAGUUUCUCUGAACCACAGUUUCCUCAGUUGUAAAUUGGGCACAAUAAUGCCAACUUGUAAGAAUUAGAGAG